rnacentral:rRNA from 1 species
AUUGAACGCUGGCGGCAGGCCUAACACAUGCAAGUCGAGCGGAGCGGCGGACGGGUGAGUAAUGCCUAGGAAUCUGCCUGGUAGUGGGGGAUAACGUCCGGAAACGGGCGCUAAUACCGAAUACUAUCAGAUGAGCCUAGGUCGGCUUGGCUAGUUGGUGGGGUAAAGGCCUACCAAGGCGACGAUCCGUCACUGGUCUGAGAGGAUGAUCAGUCACACUGGAACGGAGACACGGUCCAGGCUCCUACGGGAGGGAGCAGUGGGGAAUAGUGGACAAGGGGCGAAAGCCUGAUGCAGCGACGCCGCGUGGGGGAUGAAGGCUUUCGGGUUGUAAAACUCUUUCGCUAUCGAACGGGUAGGUGGAGAAGAAGCGCCGGCUAACUACGUGCCAGCAGCCGCGGUAAUAC